CGAAGUGUGAGUAUCAGCAACAAGUCAGUACGUUUUGUGCCUUUUCAAGAAAAUUACAAAAUUACGAAUUUCUUUAUUCUUUUAUACAACACUGUAAAAAAUUUUGAAUCCGCCGAUAAAAAUUCAAUCAAGCGGUAGGUUUUUAAGUAGUGCGUUUGCUUACCCCUUUUGGGUGCGACCCGUGAAUCUUCUAGUCACUUGCAAUGAACAAGUCUAUUCGCGACUCGAAUCAAAUUCGGAACGUACUCACAAGUUGAGCGUUGUGUUCGGAAAUACUACUCACACGGAGCGUUAAUUCGCCACAGAGUCCAAAUGGGGGUACUCACAAGUUGAGCGUUGCUGCUGCCACCAUGGGGCUCAAUUCGCUUGGUGAAUCAACUUCUCUGUGCCAAUUAGACCUAGAUGAUGGCAUUAUUCGAGCGUAGAACAGACUUGCUUGCACUACUGAGUUCGGUCUUUACUUGGUUACAACUGAGAGCGACUGACUGUCUUUGGAAGAUUCUCGGAGGCUUAUAUACAGAUUUUAGGGGUCUACUGCGCACCCUGAGUCUCUGGAAGGGAUGUUUUAGAAGAUAAUUGAUUUGUUUUCAGUUACUGCCACCUAAAAAAUAUCUUUAAAUAUACGUCGUUAACCAAAUGAUAUUUUAACGACUUGUGAUACAGAAC